rnacentral:rRNA from 1 species
UACGUAGGGUGCGAGCGUUAAUCGGAAUUACUGGGCGUAAAGCGUGCGCAGGCGGUUUUGUAAGCCAGAUGUGAAAUCCCCGGGCUUAACCUGGGAAUGGCAUUUGGGACUGCAAGGCUGGAGUGUGGCAGAGGAGACUGGAAUUCCCGGUGUAGCAGUGAAAUGCGUAGAUAUCGGGAGGAACACCAGCGGCGAAGGCGACUUUCUGGCUGCUAACUGACGCUGAGACGCGAAAGCUAGGGGAGCGAACGGG